UUCAAAGUGGGGGUGAAAUAUUUGCUGUAUUAUAUUUGAAGAUGUGUGGAUAAUAUCCACUUUUUUGCAUUGAUUGAAGGGUCUUUUCAGUUCUCAGGGUUGUUUUUUUGGUUUUUUUUUUCUGUUUCCAUCUACAGUAACAUAAAAAUGAGGAGAUCAUUUUUGUUAUUAGCAACCAUUCUUAACUGCAUGGAAGAUAUGAAGUCUGGUUUUUACUGAAAUCACAUGCCCUGAGCAGGAAUGUUCUAUCCAGAACCAUUUGACUCAUCUGUGGAGGGGAAGAACUGUUCUCUUUCAGUUCUCUUCCAGAAGGCAUCAGCAGCCUUCUGAUGAGAGAUCCAGUACAACUGAGUUACUGAAAUCAGAACCCGGCAUCCGUGGCACGAAUCCACUUGACCCACCAUGACAGCCAAAGAAAGAGCCAAGUGGUCCUUGGAGGUACCAGUGGUCAUGAAGUCCCAUUCUGUCAGCAGAAGAAUCAUCCUGGAGUGUGUGAACCUGGUGCCUAUGAGUAAACUGAAACCAGCAGACACGCUCCAGAAGCAAUGAUCUGGUCCUGCCCAUGACCUGCUGCUGCCAAUGAGAUUUUAGACCACAGGACAGCCAAAAACCAGAGCAUCCUGUCUCCCAUCCUUGGAACAAAUGCAGCAAUAUGUCCUGCCCCAAAAUGGCAGAUCUGUUGGUCCUUCUUCCACAUUUUUGUUUGCCUUUACCUUCUGAAUAGAGGUGUUAUUUCUCUGAAGGCCCACUGGGGUUGAACUCAAAUCUUGCUUUGGUUUCAUGCUGUGAGCUAACUCCUGGGUAACUUGGGCUUUGAGUCAGGUGGCCAGAAAUGCUGAGAUAAGUCCAUUGCUACUUGUAAUUACCACUGGCUAAAACGUUUGCAUGCCUCACACCAAGACAGUAUAACUGACUGAUACUUAAAGGUAGAGAAAGUAAAAAUAUGGAGGAGUGCAGAGGUAAUAAAAUAGUGCCCUCAACAUCCUUCUGC